rnacentral:ncRNA from 1 species
GACCCUAAAGAUGAUGAUCUGCUUGAUCAUGACGAAGCCAGGAAAACCCCUGAACGAGAACAGUAUCAGUUGUGACGUGUAAAUCGAUUGUUAGGUUGAGCAUAGUGUGUAAAACCAACCGAACCAUCUAGAGAUAG